AUGGACCUCGGCACCGUGUACGAGGAAGACAGGACCAAGUUCCCUUCGAUAACUGGCAGCGAGGACGAGAACGAUGAAGACAUAGACUGGGAUGACCGCAUGCAUUUCCCUGCCGGGGAGAAGGAGAUCGACAUCUCGAAGAACCUCCGGCACAUCAUCCACCUGGAGAUCACGCUGGAUGCCUUCUGCAGCAGCACCUGCAAAGGCUUGUGCCUCGUCUGUUGGUCACAGGUCCCUCGAUCUCUCUUCUCUAUGUGGUUACACACGCACCCGAAGUGUUUGUUGAAACUAAAGGAGAAGCAGAGCAAGGAGGAAAAACAGAGGAGGCACGCACGAGUUGUGGUUCCAGGCAACAAAUGCCCUUGUUUUUUUUCUUUUUCAGCAACGAAUGCUCGAUUAACUUCUAACAUCGUCUGUGGCGCGAACCUCAACACGAGCAGCUGCAGCUGCAGCACCGAUGAGUCGUUGCAAGCCAAGGACGCCAGGCGGCCGGGAACUCUCAAAGAUCUGCUGAAGCCUAUGCAGAGAAGAUGA
rnacentral:rRNA from 1 species